GGUUGUUCAGUCUUCGGAUUGAUCAAUAGUGGCGGACGGGUGAGUAACGCGUAAGAACCUACCCUUAGGAGGGGGACAACAGCUGGAAACGGCUGCUAAUACCCCAUAAGCUGAGGAGUAAAACAUACCUAAAAGGUAUGGCCUAGGGAGGGGCUUGCGUCUGAUUAGCUAGUUGGUGGGGUAAGAGCCUACCAAGGCGACGAUCAGUAGCUGGUUUGAGAGGAUGAUCAGCCACACUGGGACUGAGACACGGCCCAGACUCCUCCGGGAGGCAGCAGUGAGGAAUUUUCCGCAAUGGGCGAAAGCCUGACGGAGCAAUACCGCGUGAGGGAUGAAGGAUUUUGGUCUGUAAACCUCUUUUCUCAAGAAAGAAGUUCUGACGGUACUUGAGGAAUAAGCAUCGGCUAACUCCGUGCCAGCAGCCGCGGUAAUACGGGGGAUGCAAGCGUUAUCCGGAAUCAUUGGGCGUGAAGCGCCUGUAGGUUGUUUAAUAAGUCUGUUGUUAAAGACUAGGGCUCAACCCUAGGAAAGCAAUGGAAACUACUAGACUUGAGUAUGGCAGGGGU
rnacentral:rRNA from 1 species